AAAGGGUCCGUAGGCGGGCCCGUAAGUCAGUGGUGAAAUCUCAUAGCUCAACUAUGAAACUGCCAUUGAUACUGCGGGCCUUGAGUAAGGUAGAGGUAGCUGGAAUAAGUAGUGUAGCGGUGAAAUGCAUAGAUAUUACUUAGAACACCAAUUGCGAAGGCAGGUUACCAUGUCUUAACUGACGCUGAUGGACGAAAGCGUGGGGAGCGAACAGGAUUAGAUACCCCUGU
rnacentral:rRNA from 1 species